UCGCAAAAGUCAAUUACGCCA
rnacentral:siRNA from 1 species